AGAGCGAACGCUGGCGGCAGGCUUAACACAUGCAAGUCGAGCGGGCGUAGCAAUACGUCAGCGGCAGACGGGUGAGUAACGCGUGGGAACAUACCUUUUGGUUCGGAACAACACAGGGAAACUUGUGCUAAUACCGGAUAAGCCCUUACGGGGAAAGAUUUAUCGCCGAAAGAUUGGCCCGCGUCUGAUUAGCUAGUUGGUGAGGUAAUGGCUCACCAAGGCGACGAUCAGUAGCUGGUCUGAGAGGAUGAUCAGCCACAUUGGGACUGAGACACGGUCCAAACUCCUACGGGAGGCAGCAGUGGGAAUAUUGGACAAUGGGCGCAAGCCUGAUCCAGCCAUGCCGCGUGAGUGAUGAAGGCCCUAGGGUUGUAAAGCUUCUUUUGUGCGGGAAGAUAAUGACGGUACCGCAAGAAUAACGCCCGGCUAACUUCGUGCCAGCAGCCGC
rnacentral:rRNA from 1 species